rnacentral:rRNA from 1 species
AGAGUUUGAUCCUGGCUCAGGACGAACGCUGGCGGCGCGCCUAACACAUGCAAGUCGAACGAGCGAGAGAGAGCUUGCUUUCUCGAGCGAGUGGCGAACGGGUGAGUAACGCGUGAGGAACCUGCCUCAAAGAGGGGGACAACAGUUGGAAACGACUGCUAAUACCGCAUAAGCCCACGGGUCGGCAUCGACCAGAGGGAAAAGGAGCAAUCCGCUUUGAGAUGGCCUCGCGUCCGAUUAGCUAGUUGGUGAGGUAACGGCCCACCAAGGCGACGAUCGGUAGCCGGACUGAGAGGUUGAACGGCCACAUUGGGACUGAGACACGGCCCAGACUCCUACGGGAGGCAGCAGUGGGGAAUAUUGCACAAUGGGGGAAACCCUGAUGCAGCGACGCCGCGUGGAGGAAGAAGGUCUUCGGAUUGUAAACUCCUGUUGUUGAGGAAGAUAAUGACGGUACUCAACAAGGAAGUGACGGCUAACUACGUGCCAGCAGCCGCGGUAAAACGUAGGUCACAAGCGUUGUCCGGAAUUACUGGGUGUAAAGGGAGCGCAGGCGGGAAGACAAGUUGGAAGUGAAAUCCAUGGGCUCAACCCAUGAACUGCUUUCAAAACUGUUUUUCUUGAGUAGUGCAGAGGUAGGCGGAAUUCCCGGUGUAGCGGUGGAAUGCGUAGAUAUCGGGAGGAACACCAGUGGCGAAGGCGGCCUACUGGGCACCAACUGACGCUGAGGCUCGAAAGUGUGGGUAGCAAACAGGAUUAGAUACCCUGGUAGUCCACACCGUAAACGAUGAUUACUAGGUGUUGGAGGAUUGACCCCUUCAGUGCCGCAGUUAACACAAUAAGUAAUCCACCUGGGGAGUACGACCGCAAGGUUGAAACUCAAAGGAAUUGACGGGGGCCCGCACAAGCAGUGGAGUAUGUGGUUUAAUUCGACGCAACGCGAAGAACCUUACCAAGUCUUGACAUCCCUUGACGAUGCUGGAAACAGCAUUUCUCUUCGGAGCAAGGAGACAGGUGGUGCAUGGUUGUCGUCAGCUCGUGUCGUGAGAUGUUGGGUUAAGUCC